rnacentral:rRNA from 1 species
ACGCGAGCUGGGUUCAGAACGUCGUGAGACAGUUCGGUCCCUAUCCGUCGCAGGCGUAGGAAAUUUGAGAAGACCUGUCCUUAGUACGAGAGGACCGGGAUGGACGUACCUCUGGUGUACCAGUUGUCCUGCCAAGGGCAUGGCUGGGUAGCUAUGUACGGAAUGGAUAAGCGCUGAAAGCAUCUAAGCGCGAAGCCAACUUCAAGAUAAGAUUUCCCACCGCAAGGGUAAGACUCCAGAAAGACUAUCUGGUUGAUAGGUCGAAGGUGUAAGUGCAGCAAUGUAUUUAGCUUAUCGAUACUAAUAGGUCGAGGACUUGACCAA